UAAGCAAUUAUACAGCGAAACUGCGAAUGGCUCAUUAUAUAAGUUAUCGUUUAUUUGAUAGUACCUUACUACUUGGAUAACCGUGGUAAUUCUAGAGCUAAUACAUGCUAAAAAUCCCGACUUCGGAAGGGAUGUAUUUAUUAGAUUAAAAACCAAUGCCCUCUGGGCUCUCUGGUGAUUCAUGAUAACUUCUCGAAUCGCAUGGCCUUGCGCCGGCGAUGGUUCAUUCAAAUUUCUUCCCUAUCAACUUUCGAUGUUUGGGUAGUGGCCAAACAUGGUUGCAACGGGUAACGGAGGGUUAGGGCUCGACCCCGGAGAAGGAGCCUGAGAAACGGCUACUACAUCCAAGGAAGGCAGCAGGCGCGCAAAUUACCCAAUCCCGACACGGGGAGGUAGUGACAAUAAAUACUGAUACAGGGCUCUUUUGGGUCUUGUAAUUGGAAUGAGUACAAUUUAAAUCCCUUAACGAGGAACAAUUGGAGGGCAAGUCUGGUGCCAGCAGCCGCGGUAAUUCCAGCUCCAAUAGCGUAUAUUAAAGUUGUUGUGGUUAAAAAGCUCGUAGUUGAACCUUGGGCCUGGCUGGCCGGUCCGCCUCACCGCGUGUACUGGUCCGGCCGGGCCUUUCCCUCUGUGGAACCCCAUGCCCUUCACUGGGUGUGGCGGGGAAACAGGACUUUUACUUUGAAAAAAUUAGAGUGCUCCAGGCAGGCCUAUGCUCGAAUACAUUAGCAUGGAAUAAUGAAAUAGGACGUGCGGUUCUAUUUUGUUGGUUUCUAGGACCGCCGUAAUGAUUAAUAGGGACAGUCGGGGGCAUCAGUAUUCAAUUGUCAGAGGUGAAAUUCUUGGAUUUAUUGAAGACUAACUACUGCGAAAGCAUUUGCCAAGGAUGUUUUCAUUAAUCAGGAACGAAAGUUAGGGGAUCGAAGACGAUCAGAUACCGUCGUAGUCUUAACCAUAAACUAUGCCGACUAGGGAUCGGACGAUGUUAUUUUUUGACUCGUUCGGCACCUUACGAGAAAUCAAAGUGCUUGGGCUCCA
rnacentral:rRNA from 1 species